rnacentral:rRNA from 1 species
AUGAACGCUGGCGGCGUGCCUAAUACAUGCCAGUCGAGCGAACGGACGAGAAGCUUGCUUCUCUGAUGUUAGCGGCGGACGGGUGAGUAACACGUGGAUAGCCUACCUAUAAGACUGGGAUAACUUCGGGAAACCGUAGCUAAUACCGGAUAAUAUUUUGAACCGCAUGGUUCAAAAGUGAAAGACGGUCUUGCUGUCACUUAUAGAUGGAUCCGCGCUGCAUUAGCUAGUUGGUAAGGUAACGGCUUACCAAGGCAACGAUGCAUAGCCGACCUGAGAGGGUGAUCGGCCACACUGGAACUGAGACACGGUCCAGACUCCUACGGGAGGCAGCAGUAGGGAAUCUUCCGCAAUGGGCGAAAGCCUGACGGAGCAACGCCGCGUGAGUGAUGAAGGUCUUCGGAUCGUAAAACUCUGUUAUUAGGGAAGAACAUAUGUGUAAGUAACUGUGCACAUCUUGACGGUACCUAAUCAGAAAGCCACGGCUAACUACGUG